rnacentral:lncRNA from 1 species
UCUCUGAGACUUGGCUUGCCAUGCAAAGUUUCACUUAUCAGAACCCACAACUCCCCAUCAGCUUGGAUUCCACACACUCUUUUUGAAGAAGAAAUCUACUUGCCAGUUUGAACUGCCUCUGGGCUUCCCAAGGAACCUCCUCUAGAAGAAGGAGCUCUUCUCUAGUUCUGUCACGUUUCUGCAGCAAAAUACUUUGCCAAAGUCUCAACAGAAGGGUCUAUGCUAGGCUGAUGGUAGGACUCGUGAGAAAAACAAAUAGCAACCACAGUACCAAGUGUUGUGUUAGCUAUGAAGGAAGCUCCAAUGCUGCAGAAACCAAGGGCCAACGAUCCAUAACAGGGAAUAGCUCUAUGAGAAGAAGCCGUUUGCUCUGUCCUUUCCCCAAGACUAAUGAAGAGCCACUCAACAUCUUCUUCCCACCUCUGUGGCAAUUGGGUAUCAUCCUUCCUUGCCUUGCAGAGGAGCAAGUGCCGAGUAGGCAGCUACCCCAAAACGCAUUGAACAGAGGAACACAGCAGUCCGAAUAACAGUCUGCAUAUUCUCAUUUUACCAGAGUAUUCCUACGUCUCCUAUGAUACCUGCUGUUCAUAAAAUGUUACCUCAAGAUACCUGGAAUAACCC